AUAGAUUUACAGCUCCUGUAGCGUAUACAAAUAAAUAAAUUUAUGACUAUGUAUACAAAGAAGAAAACCUAUGUAAAGUUCGAUCCCGCUAACUAUGCGAGAAUACGUUCGAAUCUAUGUUUAGCUCGACCGCGAAGCUGUACUUCAUAUGAUAGUUAUAUUAGUUAAUGUUUGACUGCAUGCUUUUGGGUGUUUUAGCGCUAAACCAUGAUUUAACGUAAAGUAGAAUAUAGUAAACGGGGGGAAACGAUACACGUUGAGUGAAUGAUUGUGAUAAGCUUUAAAUUAUUUUUCUAUACUCGGCCAGCUAGAAGUCGGUCGGCCCGAAGUUUACAUUGGUUUAUCGUAUCAUAUUUAUGCGCUGGUGCAUUAUUUUUGUGAUGUUUUAUAUUCAAAUGUUAUAUGAAAUUGAUUGUGGAUGAUAAUAUAUUGAAAUAAUGCGUUACAUAAAGAGUACCGAUACGCACACGAAAACAUUUUAAAUAUCUUGGAAUAACUCAUUGAAUACUUGCUAUUUACACAAAAAUGCAUUCAUGUUUAAUUUACAAAACCUAAAACUGAUUUGUAAUUUUACAAAUUACAAUUACUGUUAUCCAGUCCCAUGGAAUGUCCACUUAUGGAUUCUGAUAAACCAAUUCAACAAUUUCAAUGAAACUAACCUCGAAUCCGAAUCGAAUAGAUGAUACUGUAUAAAACGACAUUGUGAUUUAAUUUCACGUAAUUAUAACGAUCCGCCAUAUUAACAUAGGUUAGAUUUCGUUGUAAAACUAAUUAUAAUUUCCGGGUUACGAAUACGUAAGAUAAAAAAAUCUGAUGAAUUUGUAAUUGUAAACUAUUGAACCUAGUGGCCUUAUGAAUUUCCAGUGUGGUGAUUGUAGCAUUCGUUCAAGCUUUAUUGUUGGACUUAUGUAAUGUCGCUUUAAGAAUUAGACUGAUUUAGCUUAAGCGUUAAAGUAUACUUUAGUUAAAUUUUAGUGAUUAAGGCGAACGUACGACAAUCGAACGAAUCUUUCACUGUUAAACGUAUCUAUUUUAGUGCCGUUUCAUUUGUGUCACGUCCUCUCGAAAUUUGUUUUGUAGUUACAAAUUUAAAAGUUAGUACGUUACAAAUUUGGACUCAAUAAUGUUACACCUUUAUCUGUUAAACA